rnacentral:rRNA from 1 species
GACGAACGCUGGCGGCGUGCUUAACACAUGCAAGUCGAACGGAAAGGCCCUGCUUUUGUGGGGUGCUCGAGUGGCGAACGGGUGAGUAACACGUGAGUAACCUGCCCCUGACUUUGGGAUAACUUCAGGAAACAGGGGCUAAUACCGCAUAGGAGCUCCUGCUGCAUGGUGGGGGUUGGAAAGAUUCGGCUGUUGGGGAUGUAAUCGCGGCUUAUCAGCUUGUUGGUGGGGUAGUGGCUUACCAAGGGUAUGAAGGGUAGCCUGCCUGGGAGGGGGAGCGGCCACAUUGGGACUGGGAUACGGCCCAGACUAGAACGGGAGGCAACGGUGGAGAAUAUUACACAGUAGACGGAAGCCAGAUGCAGCAACGCCGCGUGCGGGAUGACGGGCUUCGGGUUGUGAACCGCUGUCGCCUGAGACGAGGAGAGAGUGACGGUAAUGGGUAAAGAAGCACCGGCUAACUACGUG